rnacentral:rRNA from 1 species
CCUACGGGAGGCUGCAGUGGGGAAUAUUGGACAAUGGGGGGAACCCUGAUCCAGCCAUGCCGCGUGUGUGAAGAAGGCCCUCGGGUUGUAAAGCACUUUCAGUGAGGAAGAACGCCUGGUGGUUAAUACCCAUCAGGAAAGACAUCACUCACAGAAGAAGCACCGGCUAACUCCGUGCCAGCAGCCGCGGUAAUACGGAGGGUGCGAGCGUUAAUCGGAAUUACUGGGCGUAAAGCGCGCGUAGGUGGCUUGAUAAGCCGGUUGUGAAAGCCCCGGGCUCAACCUGGGAACGGCAUCCGGAGCUGUGGAGCUGGAGGUCAGGAGAGGAAGGUAGAAUUCCCGGUGUAGCGGUGAAAUGCGUAGAGAUCGGGAGGAAUACCAGUGGCGAAGGCGGCCUUCUGGACUGACACUGACACUGAGGUGCGAAAGCGUGGGUAGCAAACAGGAUUAGAUACCCCUGUAGUC